ACCGUGUUCAAAUAAGGCAAACGCCAGCCUGUAACCAAUCCAGCUGCUCUGUACCUCACUUCCCAAUUUCUGUACGUUAUUUACCUUUUUUGUCUAUAAAUAUUCUUCCACCAUGUGGCUGCACUGGAGUCUCUGAAUCUGCUGUUUCUGGGGGCUGCCCAAUUUGUGAACUGUUCGUUGCUCAGUUAAGCUCCUUUAAGUUUAAUUCGGCUGAAGUUUUUCUUUCAUCAGAGAGAUGGGAAGCCAUUGAGGUGGUAGUGGUAGACGGGAGGGCAGCAGCGUUGAUGGACAUGGAUGAGAGCAGAUCUAGAAGAAAGGAUCUGAGUGACAGGCUUAGGUGCGUUGUCUGCGUCCCAGGAACAGAGCAAAGCACACUGGCUCAGGCAUGAGGAAGCCACACCCCAAUCCUGCCUUUCAGGUGCCAAUGGAGAACAACCCCUUCAGCGGAACCAUGGUGCUUUACAUCUCUCUCUGAACUCUCAGAUCUCCUAAGUGGAGAUGGCUGAUUAAGGCUCUUAUCUUUCACGUUCUAAAAUCAAUUUAGUGUUGUUCGGAGCCAGCAAUGUUAAAAUAUAUUUGUAUUUUGAAACAAAGUUAACAUAGAGAAAUGAAAAAUAAAAUGUUGAGAAUUUUACAUUUAAUUGCAGAUAUAAUUCUGUGUUCUGUAUGUUACUUAGUUUUCUAUCUUAAAUAGUUUGAAGGUAAACACUUCUUUUAC
rnacentral:lncRNA from 1 species